UACGGAGGAUGCAAGCGUUAUCCGGAAUUAUUGGGCGUAAAGCGUCCGUAGAUGGUUUUGCCAGUCGGCUGUCAAAGCACAGGACUUAACCCUGUAAAGGCAGUGGAAACUACAAGACUAGAGUGCAGUAGGGGCAGAGGGAAUUCCCAGUGUAGCGGUGAAAUGCGUAGAGAUUGGGAAGAACAUCCGUGGCGAAAGCGCUCUGCUGGACUGCAACUGACAGUGAGGGACGAAAGCUAGGGGAGCGAAUGGG
rnacentral:rRNA from 1 species